UUUUGCCUACGGGGCGCAGCAGUGAGGAAUAUUGGUCAAUGGGCGAGAGCCUGAACCAGCCAAGUCGCGUGAGGGAGUACUGCCCUAUGGGUUGUAAACCUCUUUUGUCGGGGAGCAAAAGCCGGACGUGUCCGGCUGUGAGAGUACCCGAAGAAAAAGCAUCGGCUAACUCCGUGCCAGCAGCCGCGGUAAUACGGAGGAUGCGAGCGUUAUCCGGAUUUAUUGGGUUUAAAGGGUGCGCAGGCGGAUUUUUAAGUAAGCGGUGAAAUAGUGGGGCUCAACCCCAUCCAGCCGUUGAAAAUGGG
rnacentral:rRNA from 1 species